ACGGAGGGUGCAAGCGUUAAUCGGAAUUACUGGGCGUAAAGCGCACGUAGGCGGUAGGGUAAGUCAGGGGUGAAAUCCCAGGGCUCAACCUGGGAACUGCCUUUGAUACUGUACAACUUGAGUCUGGGAGAGGGUGGCGGAAUUCCAGGUGUAGGAGUGAAAUCCGUAGAUAUCUGGAGGAACAUCAGUGGCGAAGGCGGCCACCUGGACCGGUAUUGACGCUGAGGUGCGAAAGCGUGGGUAGCAAACAG
rnacentral:rRNA from 1 species